UGGUUGGAGGGUAUUGUGGCAACAUCUGGCGGGUACACGACUUUAAAGGUUUUUGAAGUUCAGAAACUAGCACCCCCCUCAAAGAAAAAGCGACCAGUUUCCAAACCUGGGACUAGUAAGGGGAAAACCAUGGACCUCAACCAGUUUCUGGAGCUGGAUUUCUAACUCAACUACACGUCACUACAAACCCUUCUGCUGCAGCACCCUGAAAUCUACAUGAAGCACUCUCCUUAUUCCGGCAUAAACUGUACCCCUCAUGUACUGUACCCCUCAUAAACUGUACCCUUCCGACAUAAACUGUACCCUUCCGACAUAAACUGUACCCUUCAUGACCAUGUCACACUAUUCGAAUUAUCAUUUUAUUCAAAAAACAAA